UACGUAGGGUGCGAGCGUUGUCCGGAAUUAUUGGGCGUAAAGAGCUCGUAGGCGGUUUGUCACGUCUGCUGUGAAAACUCGGGGCUUAACUCCGAGCCUGCAGUGGGUACGGGCAGACUAGAGUGUGGUAGGGGAGACUGGAAUUCCUGGUGUAGCGGUGGAAUGCGCAGAUAUCAGGAGGAACACCGAUGGCGAAGGCAGGUCUCUGGGCCACUACUGACGCUGAGGAGCGAAAGCAUGGGGAGCGAACAGG
rnacentral:misc_RNA from 1 species